GACGAACGCUGGCGGCGUGCCUAACACAUGCAAGUCGAACGGAACUGUUUUGAAAGAUUUCUUCGGAAUGAAUUUGAUUUAGUUUAGUGGCGGACGGGUGAGUAACGCGUGAGUAACCUGCCUUCAAGAGGGGAAUAACAUUCUGAAAAGAAUGCUAAUACCGCAUGACAUAUCGGAACCACAUGGUUUUGAUAUCAAAGAUUUUAUCGCUUGAAGAUGGACUCGCGUCCGAUUAGUUAGUUGGUGAGGUAACGGCUCACCAAGACCGCGAUCGGUAGCCGGACUGAGAGGUUGAACGGCCACAUUGGGACUGAGACACGGCCCAGACUCCUACGGGAGGCAGCAGUGGGGGAUAUUGCGCAAUGGGGGCAACCCUGACGCAGCAACGCCGCGUGAAGGAUGAAGGUUUUCGGAGUGUAAACUUCUUUUAUUAAGGACGAAAAAUGACGGUACUUAAUGAAUAAGCUCCGGCUAACUACGUG
rnacentral:rRNA from 1 species